UAGGGAAUCUUCGGCAAUGGGGGCAACCCUGACCGAGCAACGCCGCGCGAGUGAAGAAGGUUUUCGGAUCGUAAAGCUCUGUUGUAAGAGAAGAACGUGUGUGAGAGUGGAAAGUUCACACAGUGACGGUAACUUACCAGAAAGGGACGGCUAACUACGUGCAAG
rnacentral:rRNA from 1 species